rnacentral:lncRNA from 1 species
CUGGACACCUUGGUAGGAGCUCCCACCUCUGAGCAUUCACCACACAGAAGACAGCUUCUUUUCCAGUUCAAACAUACACCAAAAGGGAAGACAGCAGGCAAGAACCAGCUGGGAUAAGGCAUUGACACAGUGAAAAGGCAUUGGACUGGCUGUUCUGGGUGGUCCCCUCAUUUCAAGGACAGCUUUGAUGGAGGCACAAAUGCUGCUUAAGUCCAGUGGUUUGGAGUCUAUGAUGCAAAAUUGAUUCUGGAUAUAUCGCCCUACAGUGCCAGGAGACAAGUUGUUGGCUUGGGGUGCAGAUCCCUUUGUCAAACCCAGAAUAUUUCAUGUUCUUGCUAAUUCCAGGUACCUGUUCAAUUUGAGCUUG